UACGUAGGGUGCGAGCGUUAAUCGGAAUUACUGGGCGUAAAGUGUGCGCAGGCGGCCGAGCAAGUCGAGUGUGAAAUCCCCGGGCUUAACUUGGGAAUUGCGCUCGAAACUACUUGGCUUGAGUGUGGCAGAGGAAGGUGGAAUUCCACGUGUAGCGGUGAAAUGCGUAGAGAUGUGGAGGAACACCGAUGGCGAAGGCAGCCCCCUGGGCUAACACUGACGCUCAUGCACGAAAGCGUGGGGAGCAAACAGG
rnacentral:rRNA from 1 species